rnacentral:rRNA from 1 species
ACACAUGCAAGUCGAGGGGCAGCAUGAACUUAGCUUGCUAAGUUUGAUGGCGACCGGCGCACGGGUGAGUAACACGUAUCCAACCUGCCGAUGACUCGGGGAUAGCCUUUCGAAAGAAAGAUUAAUACCCGAUGGCAUAGUUCUUCCGCAUGGUGGAACUGUUAAAGAAUUUCGGUCAUCGAUGGGGAUGCGUUCCAUUAGGUUGUUGGCGGGGUAACGGCCCACCAAGCCUUCGAUGGAUAGGGGUUCUGAGAGGAAGGUCCCCCACAUUGGAACUGAGACACGGUCCAAACUCCUACGGGAGGCAGCAGUGAGGAAUAUUGGUCAAUGGACGAGAGUCUGAACCAGCCAAGUAGCGUGAAGGAUGACUGCCCUAUGGGUUGUAAACUUCUUUUAUACGGGAAUAAAGUGAGGCACGUGUGCCUUUUUGUAUGUACCGUAUGAAUAAGGAUCGGCUAACUCCGUGCCAGCAGCCGCGGUAAUACGGAGGAUCCGAGCGUUAUCCGGAUUUAUUGGGUUUAAAGGGAGCGUAGGCGGACGCUUAAGUCAGUUGUGAAAGUUUGCGGCUCAACCGUAAAAUUGCAGUUGAUACUGGGUGUCUUGAGUACAGUAGAGGCAGGCGGAAUUCGUGGUGUAGCGGUGAAAUGCUUAGAUAUCACGAAGAACUCCGAUUGCGAAGGCAGCUUGCUGGACUGUAACUGACGCUGAUGCUCGAAAGUGUGGGUAUCAAACAGGAUUAGAUACCCUGGUAGUCCACACAGUAAACGAUGAAUACUCGCUGUUUGCGAUAUACAGUAAGCGGCCAAGCGAAAGCGUUAAGUACUCCACCUGGGGAGUACGCCGGCAACGGUGAAACUCAA